GAUGAACGCUAGCGGGAGGCUUAACACAUGCAAGUCGAGGGGCAGCAUAGGGUAGCAAUACUCUGAUGGCGACCGGCAAACGGGUGAGUAACGCGUAUGCAACCUACCCUGUACAGGGGGAUAACCCGGAGAAAUUCGGACUAAUAUCCCGUAAUAAUAUCCGGAGGCAUCUUUGGAUAUUUAAAGUUCCGACGGUACGGGAUGGGCAUGCGUAACAUUAGCUGGUUGGUAAGGUAACGGCUUACCAAGGCUAUGAUGUUUAGGGGUCCUGAGAGGGUGGUCCCCCACACUGGUACUGAGACACGGACCAGACCCCUACGGGAGGCAGCAGUGAGGAAUAUUGGUCAAUGGGCGCAAGCCUGAACCAGCCAUCCCGCGUGCAGGAAGACGGCCCUAUGGGUUGUAAACUGCUUUUCCAGGGAGAGAAACUUACGCACGUGUUGCGUGACUGACGGUACCCUGGGAAUAAGCAUCGGCUAACUCCGUG
rnacentral:rRNA from 1 species